rnacentral:rRNA from 1 species
GGUGAGUAACACGUGGGUAACCUGCCUGUAAGACUGGGAUAACUCCGGGAAACCGGGGCUAAUACCGGAUAACUUUUUUCUUCGCAUGAGGGAGAAUUGAAAGAUGGCCUCGGCUAUCACUUACAGAUGGACCCGCGGCGCAUUAGCUAGUUGGUGAGGUAACGGCUCACCAAGGCGACGAUGCGUAGCCGACUUGAGAGGGUGAUCGGCCACACUGGGACUGAGACACGGCCCAGACUCCUACGGGAGGCAGCAGUAGGGAAUCUUCCGCAAUGGACGAAAGUCUGACGGAGCAACGCCGCGUGAGUGAUGAAGGUUUUCGGAUCGUAAAACUCUGUUGUUAGGGAAGAACAAGUAUCGUUCGAAUAGGGCGGUACCUUGACGGUACCUAACCAGAAAGCCACGGCUAACUACGUGCCAGCAGCCGCGGUAAUACGUAGGUGGCAAGCGUUGUCCGGAAUUAUUGGGCGUAAAGCGCGCGCAGGCGGUUUCUUAAGUCUGAUGUGAAAUCUUGCGGCUCAACCGCAAGCGGCCAUUGGAAACUGGGAGACUUGAGUGCAGAAGAGGAGAGUGGAAUUCCACGUGUAGCGGUGAAAUGCGUAGAGAUGUGGAGGAACACCAGUGGCGAAGGCGACUCUCUGGUCUGUAACUGACGCUGANGCGCGAAAGCGUGGGGAGCGAACAGGAUUAGAUACCCUGGUAGUCCACGCC